AGUGAACGCUGGCGGUAGGCCUAACACAUGCAAGUCGAACGGCAGCACAGUAAGAGCUUGCUCUUACGGGUGGCGAGUGGCGGACGGGUGAGGAAUACAUCGGAAUCUACUUUUUCGUGGGGGAUAACGUAGGGAAACUUACGCUAAUACCGCAUACGACCUACGGGUGAAAGCAGGGGAUCUUCGGACCUUGCGCGAUUGAAUGAGCCGAUGUCGGAUUAGCUAGUUGGCGGGGUAAUGGCCCACCCAGUCGACGAUCCGUAGCUGGUCUGAGAGGAUGAUCAGCGACACUGGAAGUGAGACACGGUCCAGGCGACUACGGGAGGCAGCAGAGGGGAAUAUUAGACAGUGGGGGCGAGCAUGAUCCAGUCAUACCGCGUGGGUGGAGGAGGCCUUCGGGUUGUGAAGCCCGUUUGUGGGGAAAGAAAAGCAGCAGGUUAAUACCCCGCGGUUGUGACGGUACCCAAAGAAUAAGCACCGGCUAACUUCGUG
rnacentral:rRNA from 1 species